rnacentral:rRNA from 1 species
GAUGAACGCUAGCGGCAGGCCUAAUACAUGCAAGCCGAACGGCAAGCUUUGUAGCAAUACAGAGCCUAGAGUGGCGUAAGGGUGCGUAACACGUAUGGAAUCUGCCCUCAACAGGAGGAUAGCUCCCCGAAAGGGGAAUUAACACUCCAUAGGAUAUAGGUGUGGCAUCACAUUUAUAUUAAACCGCAAGGGGUUGAGGAUGAGCAUGCGCAUGAUUAGUUAGUUGGCGGGGUAACGGCCCACCAAGACGAUGAUCAUUAGGGGAACUGAGAGGUUGAUCCCCCACACUGGC